UGCGCAGGCGGUUUUUUAAGUUAGUGGUUAAAGCUCAGGGCUCAACUCUGAGUAGGCCACUAAAACUAUUAAACUAGAGAAUGGGAGAGGCAAGUGGAAUUGCUGGUGAAGGGGUAAAAUCCGUUGAUAUCAGCAGGAACACCAAAUGCGAAGGCAACUUGCUAGAACAUUUCUGACGCUGAUGCACGAAAGCGUGGGGAGCGAAGA
rnacentral:rRNA from 1 species